AGGCCUAACACAUGCAAGUCGAGCGGUAGCACAGAGAGCUUGCUCUCGGGUGACGAGCGGCGGACGGGUGAGUAAUGUCUGGGAAACUGCCUGAUGGAGGGGGAUAACUACUGGAAACGGUAGCUAAUACCGCAUAACGUCGCAAGACCAAAGUGGGGGACCUUCGGGCCUCAUGCCAUCAGAUGUGCCCAGAUGGGAUUAGCUAGUAGGUGGGGUAACGGCUCACCUAGGCGACGAUCCCUAGCUGGUCUGAGAGGAUGACCAGCCACACUGGAACUGAGACACGGUCCAGACUCCUACGGGAGGCAGCAGUGGGGAAUAUUGCACAAUGGGCGCAAGCCUGAUGCAGCCAUGCCGCGUGUAUGAAGAAGGCCUUCGGGUUGUAAAGUACUUUCAGCGGGGAGGAAGGCGAUAAGGUUAAUAACCUUGUCGAUUGACGUUACCCGCAGAAGAAGCACCGGCUAACUCCGUGCCAGCAGCCGCGGUAAUACGGAGGGUGCAAGCGUUAAUCGGAAUUACUGGGCGUAAAGCGCACGCAGGCGGUCUGUCAAGUCGGAUGUGAAAUCCCCGGGCUCAACCUGGGAACUGCAUUCGAAACUGGCAGGCUAGAGUCUUGUAGAGGGGGGUAGAAUUCCAGGUGUAGCGGUGAAAUGCGUAGAGAUCUGGAGGAAUACCGGUGGCGAAGGCGGCCCCCUGGACAAAGACUGACGCUCAGGUGCGAAAGCGUGGGGAGCAAACAGGAUUAGAUACCCUGGUAGUCCACGCCGUAAACGAUGUCGAUUUGGAGGUUGUGCCCUUGAGGCGUGGCUUCCGGAGCUAACGCGUUAAAUCGACCGCCUGGGGAGUACGGCCGCAAGGUUAAAACUCAAAUGAAUUGACGGGGGCCCGCACAAGCGGUGGAGCAUGUGGUUUAAUUCGAUGCAACGCGAAGAACCUUACCUGGUCUUGACAUCCACAGAACUUAGCAGAGAUGCUUUGGUGCCUUCGGGAACUGUGAGACAGGUGCUGCAUGGCUGUCGUCAGCUCGUGUUGUGAAAUGUUGGGUUAAGUCCCGCAACGAGCGCAACCCUUAUCCUUUGUUGCCAGCGGUUAGGCCGGGAACUCAAAGGAGACUGCCAGUGAUAAACUGGAGGAAGGUGGGGAUGACGUCAAGUCAUCAUGGCCCUUACGACCAGGGCUACACACGUGCUACAAUGGCAUAUACAAAGAGAAGCGACCUCGCGAGAGCAAGCGGACCUCAUAAAGUAUGUCGUAGUCCGGAUUGGAGUCUGCAACUCGACUCCAUGAAGUCGGAAUCGCUAGUAAUCGUAGAUCAGAAUGCUACGGUGAAUACGUUCCCGGGCCUUGUACACACCGCCCGCCACACCAUGGGAGUGGGUUGCAAAAGAAGUAGGUAGCUUAACCUUCGGGAGGGCGCUUACCACUUUGUGAUUCAUGACUGGGGUGAAGUA
rnacentral:rRNA from 1 species